rnacentral:rRNA from 1 species
AGUGAACGCUGGCGGUAGGCCUAACACAUGCAAGUCGAACGGCAGCACAGCAGUAGCAAUACUGUGGGUGGCGAGUGGCGGACGGGUGAGGAAUACAUCGGAAUCUACCUUUUCGUGGGGGAUAACGUAGGGAAACUUACGCUAAUACCGCAUACGACCUACGGGUGAAAGUGGGGGACCUUCGGGCCUCACGCGAUCAG